CAGCCGUAAACUAUGCUCGCUAGGUGUCAGGCAUGGCGCGACCGUGUCUGGUGCCGCAGGGAAGCCGUGAAGCGAGCCACCUGGGAAGUACGGCCGCAAGGCUGAAACUUAAGGAAUUGGCGGGGGAGCACCACAACGGGUGGAGCCUGCGGUUUAAUUGGACUCAACGCCGGGAAGCUCACCGGAUAAGACAGCGGAAUGAUUGCCGGGCUGAAGACUCUGCAUGACUAGCUGAGAGGAGGUGCAUGGCGUAGAC
rnacentral:rRNA from 1 species